CCUACGGGCGGCAGCAGUGAGGAAUAUUGGUCAAUGGGCGAGAGCCUGACCCAGCCAAGUCGCGUGAAGGAUGAAGGAUCUAUGGUUUGUAAACUUCUUUUAUAUGGGAAUAAAGUGAGGAACGUGUUCCUUCUUGUAUUUACCAUAUGAAUAAGCAUAGGCUAACUCCGUGCCAGCAGCCGCGGUAAUACGGAGGAUGCGAGCGUUAUCCGGAUUUAUUGGGUUUAAAGGGUGCGUAGGUGGUUAAUUAAGUCAGCGGUGAAAGUUUGUGGCUCAACCAUAAAAUUGCAGUUGAAACUGGUUGACUUGAGUAUAUUUGAGGUAGGCGGAAUGCGUGGUGGAGCGGUGAAAUGCAUAGAUAUCACGCAGAACUCCGAUUGCGAAGGCAGCUUACUAAACUAUAACUGACACUGAAGCACGAAAGCGUGGGGAUCAAACAGGAUUAGAUACCCCUGUAGUC
rnacentral:rRNA from 1 species